GGGUGUAUAGUACAAAGGUUAGUACGGACGGCUGUUAACCGUUUGAUCUUGGUUCGAGUCCAAGUAUGCCCGCCA
rnacentral:tRNA from 2 species